rnacentral:rRNA from 1 species
AUAGAGACUCAGAGCUGCAUAUCAAUAAGCGGAGGAAAAGAGACUAACUAGGAUUCCCUCAGUAACGGCGAGUGAAGCGGGAAGAGCUCAAAUUUGAAAUCUUCAAGGUUCUACCUUGACGAAUUGUAGUUUAUAGAAGUGUUUUCUGUUAGUGGAGUGGCAAAAGUUCUUUGGAAUAGGACAUCAUAGAGGGUGAGAAUCCCGUAUUUGACCGUUACUUUCCAACUGCGCGAUACACUUUCAAAGAGUCGGAUUGUUUGGGAAUGCGGUCCAAAAUGGGUGGUAAAUUUCAUCUAAAGCUAAAUAUUGGCGAGAGACCGAUAGCGAACAAGUACCGUGAGGGAAAGAUGAAAAGAACUUUGAAAAGAGAGUUAAACAGUACGUGAAAUUGUCAAAAGGGAAGCGUUUGACACCAGUGUUGUUUUUCCGAAAAUCAAUUAUGAAUGGCUUGAUUUUAAGUUUCAUGACCUUAAAAUCAAGCCAUUCAUAAUUGAUUCAUGCUAAGUUGUAUUGACUUCAUCGGCUUUCUGCUUAGUUUUGGGUCUCUUUUUGAUGCACUUUUCGUUUAACAAGUCAACAUCAAUUUCUUUUGCUGUAAAAGGGUAAGAGGAAGGUGGCUUAAGCUUCGGUUGAAGUGUUUAUAGCCUUUUACCUCUGCAGUCGGAGAGAUUGAGGUCUGCAGCGUAGACUCUUUAGGGUUAGAUCCAUUUGUGCUAAGUUAUAGCUUUUCAUAGGACAACAUUGUUGACUAUGAUUAGUCUUGUAGCUUACCUCGCAUAUGUCAUUUUACCUACGCUUAGGAUGUUGAAGAUAUGCGCGACACG